AACGAACGCUGGCGGCAUGCCUAACACAUGCCAGUCGAACGAGACCUUCGGGUCUAGUGGCGCACGGGUGCGUAACGCGUGGGAACCUGCCCUUAGGUUCGGAAUAACUCCCCGAAAGGGGUGCUAAUACCGGAUAAUGUCUUCGGACCAAAGAUUUAUCGCCUUUGGAUGGGCCCGCGUUGGAUUAGCUAGUUGGUAGGGUAAAAGCCUACCAAGGCGUCGAUCCAUAGCUGGUCUGAGAGGAUGAUCAGCCACACUGGGACUGAGACACGGCCCAGACUCCUACGGGAGGCAGCAGUGGGGAAUAUUGGACAAUGGGCGAAAGCCUGAUCCAGCAAUGCCGCGUGAGUGAUGAAGGCCUUAGGGUUGUAAAGCUCUUUUACCCGGGAUGAUAAUGAUAGUACCGGGAGAAUAAGCUCCGGCUAACUCCGUG
rnacentral:rRNA from 1 species